rnacentral:rRNA from 1 species
GACGAACGCUGGCGGCGUGCUUAACACAUGCAAGUCGAACGGUGAAGCGCCUUCCUUUUUGGCGGGUGUGGAUGAGUGGCGGACGGGUGAGUAACACGUGAGUAACCUUCCCCCUUCUUCUGGAUAACCGCGUGAAAGUUUGGCUAAUACGGGAUAUUCUGGGUCUGUCGCGUGAUGGGUUUGGGUAGGAUAUUGUUUCGGUAGGGGCUGGGCUCGCGGCCGAUCCGUUUGUGGUUUGGGUGGUUGCCUACCAAGGCGGUGACAGGUCGCCGGCCUGAGAGGGUGGACGGUCACACUGGGACGGAGACACGGCCAAGACUCCUACGGGACGCAGCAGUGGGGAAUAUUGCACGAUGGGCGGAAGAAUGUUGCAGCGACGCCGCGAGAGUGAUCGAGGCCUUCGGGGUGUGAACCUCUUGCGCCAGUGAAGCAGGCCUGCCUUGUUUGUGGUGGUGUUGACGGUAGCUGGAUAAGAAGCUCCGGCUAACUACGUG